rnacentral:rRNA from 1 species
GAUGAACGCUGGCGGCGUGCCUAAUACAUGCAAGUCGAGCGAACAGACGAGGAGCUUGCUCCUCUGACGUUAGCGGCGGACGGGUGAGUAACACGUGGAUAACCUACCUAUAAGACUGGGAUAACUUCGGGAAACCGGAGCUAAUACCGGAUAAUAUAUUGAACCGCAUGGAUCAAUAGUGAAAGACGGUUUUGCUGUCACUUAUAGAUGGAUCCGCGCCGCAUUAGCUAGUUGGUAAGGUAACGGCUUACCAAGGCGACGAUGCUUAGCCGACCUGAGAGGGUGAUCGGCCACACUGGAACUGAGACACGGUCCAGACUCCUACGGGAGGCAGCAGUAGGGAAUCUUCCGCAAUGGGCGAAAGCUUGACGGAGCAACGCCGCGUGAGUGAUGAAGGUCUUCGGAUCGUAAAACUCUGUUAUUAGGGAAGAACAAAUGUGUAAGUAACUAUGCACGUCUUGACGGUACCUAAUCAGAAAGCCACGGCUAACUACGUG